AAAGUAAAGAUAACACUUACUCCUCCAAGAAAUUGAUUUCAGCUAAGCAAAACAUUGAUACAGGGCUAUAAUGGAAGUGUUGGACUCAUAAACGUUUUAUGAAAUCAGUGUGUGUGUAUUACAGAAAUCAGAAAUGAGAAGUAAGAACAUGUCUGGGAGAGUGUGACAUAAGAAAAAUAACUUGUAGGCGUAUUUAACAGACAGCAGCAGUUCUCAGGAUUCCCCAUGUUAGAGCCUUCCUUCCUGUCCUCUGAGAAAUGAAAAUGAAAUCCAAAGACCCCCAACUGACUACACGAACCCCCUACUGGCUAAGGAGAUCCCAGGGUUGCCUUGAAGGCAGUUCUCAGCCAUGACAGAUGGGAGUUUCGGCCCAAUUGACCAGUAUUCCUUACUGAUAAGAGACACUGACCAUGGAGUGGUUCUGGUGAGAUGACAUGACCCUCGUGAAGGGGCCUGAAGCUUCAUUGUGUUUGUUCUCCCUCUGUUGCCGAGGCUGGACUGUACUGCCGUGAUC
rnacentral:lncRNA from 1 species